GUCAUAAAGAAAUUAUUGAGCCAGGGAAUGAGCAAGCUCCCAAUUAAUAGGAUAAAAAAAGAGGUCGUUAAGAACAUGACACAUUACGGAGAAUGUACAUCAAAAUCGAGCUCCCUUUUACAUAUAUGAGUAAAAAGUAUGUACAACUGCUUGUGGCCUUCUACAUGGUAACCUUUUUACCAUUGGCUCAAAUGUCUACGUUGUGAGGACUUCCUUGUACACUAUGUUUCACGUAAUUGUCCCUUGAGACUUGGACAGAAAAUCGUUGCCCUUUUUGCCAUUUCCAGCGGUGUCUAGGAUCUUUCGAGUUUUUGUUCCUCUAGACUAAGUACACAACAAAAUUUAAAGGCUAGCAUAACAUGUUUUUGUCACUUUUGUUCAGCUCAUGUAUCUCUGUUAUGCUUUUGUUCUGUACAUAUCUCUCAUUCCACCAAAACACUACAAAAUCUGAAAGCACAUAGAAAUAUAAUAGCACAUUCGAUCAUUACUGCCAUAAAGAAAUUAUUGAGCCACGGAAUGAGCAAGCUCCCAAUUAAUAGGAUAAAAAAAACAGGUCGUUAAGAACAUGACACAUUACGGAGAAUGUACAUCAAAAUCGAGCUCCCUUGUACAUAUAUGAGUAAAAAGUAUGUACAACUGCUUGUGGCCUUCUACAUGGUAACCUUUUUACCAUUGGCUCAAAUGUCUAUGUUGUGAGGACUUCCCUGUACACUAUGUUUCGCGUAAUUGUCCCUUGAGACUUGGCUGACUUGGACAGCAAAUCGUUGCCCUUUUUGCCAUUUCCAGCGGUGUCUAGGAUCUUUCGAGUUUUUGUUCCUCUAGACUUUCUAGAUUUGGAUCGGACAUCCCUGUCACAAUUAGAGAUGGCUAAUAUAUUUAUAUUUCUUCUAGCGGUGGCUCUAGACAGCGCGACGUAUAACUGGCCGUGGGAGAAAACAGGAUCAGGCAGGUAAACACCAACAUUAGGAAUGGUCUGCCCUUGUGCCUUGUUGAUUGUCAUAGCAAAACUUAGCCUUAUUGGAAAUUGCUUCCUCUUAAACCGAAAAGGGAACAUCUCAUCAUCGGAGGGGCACAAGGGAAUACGAGGGAGGAAUACCCUCUUUCCAGCAUGUUGUCCUAGCACAAUCUCAACAUCGAUAGGAUUUUUUUGAAACCCCCGAACAACCAACCUUGUUCCGUUGCAUAGUCCAUUAACAGGGUCGAUGUUCCACAGAAGUAUAACUAGGCAGUUAAUCUUCAGCUUUAGAACAUGUGGAGGAAGCCCAUUUGGAGUGAGUGAGUUGAGAAAUUCAGAGGGGUAGUAGUUGUGGGGAUCAUCCUUCGCCCGAUCGAAGCUGUGAUAUACCAUCUCUUGACCUUGAAAACGCUCUAUCAUCCUCAAGUUUAUCAUGUCGACAUUUUCAUUCUUGGUCGAUAGAAUUGCUCAAGAUGUGAUGUAAUUCGGGUCGGUCAGGUUCUCAUCUAGACAAGGAAAGGCAUGUUCAAUUAGCUUGUCGAGGUUAGCGUCCUUCCCAGUACACGGCACACAAAUUUAUUGAGGCAGGCAAAUGUUGCUAUCCUCGCCUGUCUCCUCGGUGCCAUUCCUGACACGUAGCAAGAAAUCUGCAAACCACUCAUCGUUCUGUGCCCUCAUGUUACGAAUGAGCUUGAGUUGUCGCAUGCUUUCCCAUAGGUAUGACAUGCGCAAAGUCGCAUCGGUAAUCUGGGGCCUCGUCCCCUUCCGGACAACUGGGAGGACCUGCCUAAAGUCCCCGCCAAACACAACGGUCUUCCCCCCAAAUGGCAGGUCAUGUCGGCCCAUUAUAUCCCGCAUGCUAUUAUCGAGUGCCUCAACUGCCUGGCGCUUUGUCAUAGAGGCCUUGUCCCAUAUUAUGAGAGAUGCCAUGCGAAGGAGCUUGGCCGUCCCACUCUGCUUCGUAAAGCUACAUGUUGCGCCUUCGUCGAUGUUGAGCGGGAUCUUAAACCUUGAGUGUGCGGUCCUGCCUCCAGGCAUGAUAGAUGCUGCAACUCCCGAUGUCGCAAUUGCCACAGCCAUCUUGCCCUCGCUGCGAACCUUCGCAAGUAAUGCUUUAUAUAAAAAAGUCUUCCCAGUGCCUCCCGGGCCAUCUACAAAGAAGACACCUCCAUUGCCACUAUCGAUGGCGGAUAAUAUCUCAUCGUAGGUAGAUUUUUGCUCGAGGUUAAGGGAGGAUGCUAGAGAAGCGUGCUCAAUGUCUACCUCGAUUGAGGACUCCUCAAUGAUCUCUCUAGCCUCGCCAUCGAUAGUGUCAUGCGACUCAUCAAUGUUGGGCAAAGGGAACAACGUUAUGUCUUUUCCCAUCGAUUGCAGCAUGUUCCUGAUGUCUAGCAACACCUUCUGCUCCACUAUGUGUGGGCAUGUGUGGAUCUGUCGAUAGUCCUCUGACAUUGACCUAGGUGCUUAUCCCAGAGCCCGCACACAUCGCUAGCCUCGCAAAACACCAAGAUAGUUGCAAAGAGCCUACGCAACGAGGAUGGCAUCUGGAAUAGCUCAGCCUCUGUAAGACAUUCGUCAAGGGUGUUGUCAGCUUCAACGAGACCCCUUCUUUCAGCGGCUUCUCGGAAGCUUGGGCAAAGGACACCAUCCACCGUCCUCAGGUCUUCGAACGAUGUCGAUCCGGUCACAUGGUUUAACAACACCCUCAUGUAGUACCGUUCUCCCUCAGCAGGAUGAGCCGACACGAUUCUGCCAACCUGGAACUAUUCCGUCCUCGUUUUCCAUAUUUUAGGGGUCGCGUGCCAUACAAACUUUUCUGGGAAAUCCUUGUAUAGAAUUCCUCGAGCCUUCGGAAUUGUCCUGUUAGCCUCAAAAUACUCUGUGAGCAUUGUCUUGGAUGCACCCUCACGAGUGACGACAUCAUUCAGAUCAUGGUCCACGUUAAACGAGAUCAUGUGCAUGUCUGGGAGAUGAAGUUGCACUUUCUUCACAGAUGGGAAGUUUUCACUUCCUCCAUAGUGCCUCUGGUGGUGUAACCCACCUCGCAUCUAAGUAUCUCUUGAUCUCAUCAAUGUCGCCAUUACUAUCAGGCUCAUCAAGAGAGGCCGAAGUUCGAUCGUGCCCCUUGUAUAUGUACUUGUAAAGGUACUUAACGGCCUUUAUGCUAGAGCACACCUCAACAUUGAUAUGACAAUUGUACAUCCUCAGGAGGUAAGGGUUAUAUGGCACAACCCACCUGUUAUCUAGAAUUUUCCCUCGGACUUGUGCUCGACGAUGGUCAUCACGUCUCUGGUAAAGGGGGUACGAGUCCUUUCCUUGGACGGUAGUCGUGUUAAAAGGACGUGGGUACCGAUUCUUGCAACAUCCAUCCUGCAUGCACACGUUCUUGGGGUUUAAGACCCCGCAAGGCCCGUGCAUCAUAUGCUUUAUUACCAUCGCAUAUAGCUCUGGAUACUUAUGCUUGUCUGGAAGCUCAGUUGAGAUGAGGCGAUCAUAUUGCUCUGGAGUUGUGAGCUUGUAUCCGGACUCCAUGAUCAACAGGAAGUGAGCAUGUGGGAGGCCUCUCUUUUGGAACUCAAUUACAUACACAUACGCAAUUACCUUGCCGAGGAUGCGCUUCUUGAAUAGCUGCUUCUUUAGGUCCUCCAACUUAGCUUUGAAUACUCUAACAAUGAGAUUAGGGCGGUCUUGUGGGGUUUGGCCAGGUUCUAGUGCACAAACUAUCUCUUCCCAAUUGGGAUUGCAGGUCAUUGCAAGGAAGAUAUUUGGCUUUCCGUACUUUUGGACUAAUGCCAUGACAUCCAUGUUGAAAGAUCGGUAUGGUCGACUAGAGGGGGGGGGGGUGAAUAGGAGACUAACAAAUUUUAGCUUUUCCUUUUCUUUUCUUAAAAGAUACAAACACUUAAUCCUAGGGUUUCUAAAUUCUCUAAAGUGAAUGCAAUCCUAGAAUGAAAUGCAAUAGCCGAAGCAACAAUAUAUAGUAAGAAUGUAAAGGGGAAAUGAUACCACACGUGGAGACGAAGAUUUCACCGGAGUUCCACCUAUUGGGAAUGGUGUACGUCACCGUUUGGAGGAGUGCUCUACCACAAAGGUAGAGACGCCACGAAAGCUCACUCUAUUCUUCAACUCACCAUAGCACAAAGAUGGGAUGAGCUCUCACAACACCACAAAGGUGAGCUGAGUUCCACUAAUGGCUUCCUUGAGGGCGAACGCUGAACCCUUACAAACUUGACCGGGGCAAACUCCACAAUUCAAUAGGAGGCUCUCAAUCUAAGCCUCAAGCUCCUCAUACACCAAGGGAGAGCUUGAGGUGACCGCUUCCGUCUAGAGUUCCCAACAACCCAAGAGAAACGAAAUCCACAAGAAAACAAGGGGAAUCAACUUUUUGACUUGGUGAAACUCUAGAGCAAGAUCUUCUCCUCCAAUCCUCAAAGAAUCACUGGUUGGAGUGGCUAGGGAGGGAGAUCUUGGAGAUUUGAGCCUUUUGUGUUCUUUGGGUGAGAGGGGCUGUUCUUGGCUGUGAAAACGGUCAGCUAGCUCGUUGGGGACGAAGGGGUAUAUAUAUGAGGUCCCUAAAAUCAAGCCGUUAUGCACUGCGCAGAAACAGGCCGGAACUUCCGGUCAUAGCCGGAACUUCCGGUGAGACGGAAGUUCCGCAUAUUACCGGAAGUUCCGCAUAUUCUGCCGAUCCUAACAAAGAGUGACCGGAGGUUGGGGCGGAAGUUCCGUCCGGAACUUCCGCCACCUGGACUGCAGGCAGAACACAACAUGCUGAGUUUUAGUUGUUCUCUCUCACUUUUGGGGGUAGGCCUUUUAGUGGGUGCAAAUUGUGUAGUUGUGUACGUGAAAUUGAUUCACCCAUUACCUUCCCUUGUGGAUUCCCUCUUAAUAGUACGGAUGUCCUAUGACUCAAAUCAAAACGAAAAAGCCGCUAACACCGUUACGCUUCAUAGCAUCUUGAGGGUCCACAACAACGUCUUGUGCUAAUUUCUUUAUGAAAUCUGAAAUACUUGACACACGAUUAGAUACACAACAUGUUGUCAUCACCAUCAAAACCACUUAGGAGAGAAAUGCCCUUUCAAUCUCCCCCUUUUUGGUGAAUGAUGACAACACAAAGAUUUGCAUAAAGAUAAACAAUUAAACUAGAUGCAAAGGAAAUAAAAUAUAGACGGGCUCCCCCUAGGUGUAUGCACCAAUUAUAUUUGCUUGAAAUGCAACGUGCACAUACACUAGGAUCAACACUCCCCCUAGAUUUUAAGAACCAAAAAAGUCAAUUACAAAUGAAUAAGGAUGUUUCAAUAAUAGUUUCACAAAGAUAUGUAGGAAUCAUUCAUAGAAGGAUGUAGAGCAUACCUCUCCUAGGCAUAUCAAGAUUGAAUGAACCCUACAAGGACUUAUCCAACAAGAUAUCGCACAAAGCUUCCAAGAAGCAUAAUGUAUUAGAUAAGUCCCAAUCAAAUGAAAUCAUACCUUUGCAAAGAGAUCUUGUGAAGGAGCAACUUUCUAAGGGCACAACUAAACAACAUCUCCACACAAGAUAAGUAAGACAUGAUAUAAUCAAUAACCACCAUGCAUAAGAAAAGUUCACAUGUCUCACAAGAAUACCACGACGGGUAUUCCACACACAUAAAGUCUUACAAACUCACAAACACGAAUAAAAACAGUUCAAUAAAGCAUAAAACUCAUGCAAAUCCCGACGACUAACACUACUCUCCCCCUUUGACAUCAAGACACCAAAAAGGGAAGAAUCGUCCCAAAGGAGAGCAAACAAAUUACUUCGUGUCUUCAUCAUCGUCACCACUUGCAGCGGGCACACUGUCUUCAUCUUCUCCUCCUUCAUCGUCUUCUUCUUCCUCAACCUCCCAUUGAACCGGUGAGGGGAGGUGACCAUCAUCACGGUUCCAAUCACCAUGUGUACUCUUGAAGGCGUCAAAAGACUCAAUAUCUGACACGGGAGAGCUGGGCAAAUUCAGAGCAUCCAUGAUGGCGGUUUGGCGCUUGAGGAUCCUCUAAUUCUCCUUGUGAAGUCGAUAAAUCUUCCUCCCAUUUGAUUGUUGCAUGCAAAAGAGCUUCCUAAGCAUGCUUUUCCAACCACCUUCCUUAUGGUGAGCACGAGAAGAGCUAGAGGCGGGGGCAUAAUCAAAAUCCAUAGGAUCUUCUUCCUCCUCAUCAUCACUCUCCUCAAGUGAUUGACGAUUGGUCGGAGGUGGGCGUUGGUGCCUUUUCUUCUCGAGAGUCUUGAUAGGGUGUGGCUUCAAAUCCAAAUCUGUCAGGUGAGGUGCCUUAGCAAGGAUGAGCUUCAUCACAAAUGGAGCAAAUGGGGGCACCCACCUAGCAAGAAUAGCAUAGUAUAGCUCAUGCCACAGAAAAUCCAUCACAUCAAAUGGAGUAUCACCAUCCUUCCUUAGAUGUGUCUCAAGCAUAAGAUUGACCAAAUAGCCAUGCAUCUCAUCGGUGUUCCCGGUCUUGCACGCUAUGGUCUCUCGGUAAAUGCACUGCAUGAUAUCAUAGACAGGCUGCAGAUACUUUGUCUCACUUGGCUUAACCCUCCCUGGCAUGUAAAGCGGUGCAAGCACAGCCUUGUCCUUAGCAGGCUGAUGGUGAACUCGAAAGCCCGAAGGAGUGACAAGUCCAGCACCAGGAUAACCAAGCAAGGUAGCAAACUCUGCCCAAGUAGCCUCGCACAAGUGAGUUCCUGACAUCCAUGUAGCCUUCCUUUCUUCUUCAGUUUCUUCCAAGUGCACAGAGGUGAAGAACUGACCCACAAGAUACUCAUCAUAGGGUUGACCCAACCGCAUGAUAGGGAAAAGCUUGAACUUGCGGCAAAUGGAGAGAGCAUCACCAAAGUAAUCUAGCUUCUUCUUCAUAUCUCCAACAUUGAUAUGGCAUUGAGGAACAACCUUGGUAGCUAAACAGUCAUAAAUCUCCUCAAAGAUACGGAUUUGAAAGUUGGUAUGGAAAUCACGAUUACCACCCUUGAGGUUCCACUCUGGAGAAUUCAGAAAGGAAUUCUUGAACCUCUCUUCUUCAAAAACUUUCUCAGGAUACUGCUUGAUAUGAAAAGGUCGCUUCUUUCCUGAGGAUCUCUUAGACUUCCCACCACCUUUGUUCGUUGGACCUUCAAGCUCAGAGCGGAUGAUUUCUGAACGCCGCUUUCCCGGAAGGUGAGUUGGUGAUAAUUGCUCCACGGCCUUGCCCUUGCCUUUGUUCUGAGAACCAGAGACUUCUGUGAAAGAAAAAGGUACGGGGGACAAAGGGUAAGUACUCUAGACAAGUAGGGUAUGAGAAUCAAUCACAUGGAACUAAAAUAGUAUUAGAAAAUUGCUACAGGAACCGGAAGUUCCGGGUCACCCGAGAACCGGAUGAACCCUAGCUUCCAAAUCUGAAGCAAUUAGCCAAUACUAUUCGAGAUCCAUGCAACCUAUUCAACACAUUCUACCUAGACAACGAAUUCCACCACAAAUUUCAACCAAAUUGCCUCUAAUUUCAUCGGAUUCAAACAAACCCUAGAAAAGAAGAAAAGAGGCAUUACUUGUUCUUCCCAUCGGUGGAGAUCGAAGAGAACGAGGGCACGAAGGAGAUUAGGAGCAGGGAGACCGGAUCUUUCGGUUGGAAUCCAAUCGGAGCUUGGAGGCGAAGUCCUUGGGUUUGUGGGGAAGAAGGAGAAUAGGGGUCGGGCGGGGUGAGGAAAUAACUCCUCACCCGUUCAGCCCCCAAAAAUACAGGCCGAACAGGGGGCGGAACUUCCGGUCGGAACCGGAACUUCCGCUGAUCCCAGAAAAAGACAGCUCCAGGGGGGGCGGAACUUCCGGUCGGAGUCGGAACUUCCGCCGAGCCCAGAACCAGACAGGGGAAACAAAAGAUUGGAAUUUUUGAGCAAUUAGAAUACAAAUGUUUCUAGAUAAGAUAGGCCUGGGAUGGAAAACACAAAGUUGGGAUUAUAUUAUGGCAUUAUACACUCAAAUUGCAAAAAGCAAAUUCAAAAUACCAAUUAUGAGUAUAUUUCCAUAGAUAGACAUAUAAUGUCAUAUAUCGACUAAAAAGAUUUGCAAGGAAUUAAAAUUACCACCUCACAAAAGUGAGGGCGGUGGCCUAGGCAACCAUAUUUGAGUAUGUAUGAGCUUGACACCGAGAAUAUAGAUUCUUGGGCUCAAGACUCAAAGAAGCUCAAUGUAUGAAAUUAAUGUUAGCAUAGUAAGAGUAGCAUUUUUCCAUGAAUUGAGCUAUGCUCCCCCUAUAUCCAUGCGCACAUCCAAACUAGACAAAUGUUAACCGUGGGUACGGGUGCAAGUUUAUCAAACCACAACACUAGAAUCUAGGAUAUUUAGCUCAUGCCUUAACUCCCGAAAUCUUGCUUCAUCAAGUGGCUUCGUGAAAAUAUCCGCUAGUUGCAUACCGGUGGCAACAUAAGAGAGAUCAAUAUCACCAUGGGCCACGUGCUCUGGAAUGAAAUGAUGAUGAAUCUCAAUAUGCUUCGUCUUGCUAUGUUGCACGGGGUCGUGGGCUAUCUUGAUUGCACUCUCGUUGUCACAUAAAAGAGGCACACUUUCACAAGUGAUUCCAUAGUCCAAUAAUGUUUGCCUCAUCCAUAAUAAUUGUGCACAACAACUUGCGGCGGCUAUAUACUCGGCUUCCCUCGUGGAGAGAGACACACAAUUUUGCUUUUUAGAAAACCAACUCACCAAAGACCUAUCAAGAAAUUGGCAUGUCCCGGAAGUUGACUUCCUAUCCACUUUGUCUCCCGCCCAAUCCGAGUCUGAAUAUCCCAUGAGCUUGAAACUUGAUCCUUUAGGAUACCAUAAACCAAACUUUGGGGUAUGAACCAAAUAUCUAAAGAUUCUUUUGACUGCCACUAAGUGGCUUUCUUUUGGUGCGGAUUGAUAUCUUGCACAAAUACCCACACUUAACAUAAUAUCCGGUCUAGAUGCACAAAGGUAAAGCAAGGAACCAAUCAUAGAACGAUAUACCUUUUGAUCCACAUCUUUACCAUUGGGAUCUAGAUCAAGAGGGCUUGAUGUAGGCAUUGGGGUAUUGGCACUCUUGGCAUCAUGCAUCUUGAAUCUCUUUAGCAUGUCUUGGGUGUAUUUGGCUUGAUUAAUAAAGAUUCCUCCUCUCAAUUGCUUGAUUUCAAAUCCAAGGAAGAACUCCAAUUUACCCAUCAUAGACAUCUCAAACUUUUCGGUCAUUAGCUUGGCAAAUUGAUCAUAGAACACACCAUUAGUAGAACCAAAUAUGAUGUCAUCAACAUAUAGUUGGCAUAUAAACAAAUCAUCACCAACCAUGUUAGUAAAAAGAGUGGGGUCAAUAACCCCAAUUUCAAAGCCACGAUCCACUAGUAGCUCCUUUAGGUGCUCAUACCAAGCUCGAGGUGCCUGUUUGAGGCCAUAAAAGGCUUUAUCAAGUUUGUACACGUGGUUAGGAAAUUGAGGGUCCUCAAAUCCCGGUGGUUGUUUGACAUAUACCAUCUCAUUUAGUGGACCAUUUAGAAAUGCAUUUUUCACAUCCAUUUGUUGCAAAGUAAUGUUAUGAUGCGAUGCAUAUGCAAGCAAGAUACGAAUAGAUUCAAGGCGAGCAACGGGAACGGAAGUUUCACCGUAGUCAAUACCCUCGACUUGGGAGAAACCUUGAACCACCAAUGUUGCCUUGUUCCUUGUCACUUGUCCAAGAGCAUGUUGCUUGUUCUUGAAUAUCCAUUUGGUGCCAAUGACAUUCUUGCAAUCUUUUGGUCUUUCCACCAAUAACCAUACUCUAUUGCGCUUGAAGUUAUUCAACUCUUCAUGCAUGGCAUUAAGCCAAUCCGGAUCCUCGAGAGCUUCUUGUACCUUUUUGGGCUCAACACAAGAGACAAAAGCAUGAUGUUUACAAAAGUUAGCUAAUUGUCUACGAGUAGUUAUCCUUUUCCUCACACUUCCUAGGACAUUGUCCAAAGUAUGUUCUUGACGUUGAAGUCGUGAGGCAAUCUUCAAGGCCCGAUGUUUCAUAGCUUCUUGAGAUAAAUCUUGAGGCUCAAUGGAAGUUUGAACAUCUUGAAGAUCUUGAUCUUGGACAUCAUUUGGUGAAGAAUCACCAACAUCAACAUUUGCUUGAACUUGUCCUUAAUCAACUUGUUCAUCUACAGGAGGAACUUGUUCUUGUUCUUGGUUAGCUUGUGGAUCUUGUGGAGAUGAGGGCUCCACUUGAGUAGAGCAUUAUCCUUCUCCUUCUUCCAUACGGGGAUCGUCAACAGGCAUAAUUUGACCUAUGCCCAUUCUUCGUAUGGCUUGGGGAGGAAUUUCAUCAUCUACAUCCACAACAUCAACUUGUCCCACAUGGGAGCCAUUAUUCUCAUCAAACUCCACAUUACAAGAUUCUUCAACACAUCUGGUGGAUUUGUUGUAGACUCUAUAAGUGUGGGAGUUUGAUGCAUAGCCAACAAAUAUGCCCUCAUAAGUUUUAGGCUCAAAUUUAGAUAAACGGACACCUUUCUUAAGCAUGAAACACUUACAACCAAAUACCCGAAAGUACUUGAGGUUGGGCUUGCGUCCCGUGAGAAUUUCAUAAGGUGUCUUGUUCAAUAUCUUGCGGAGAUCGAGGCGAUUAGUAGCAUGGCAUGCGGUGUUGAUUGCUUCGACCUAAAAGUUGUAUGGAGACUUGAACUCCGCCAACAUUGUCCUCGCCGCAUCCAUGAGAGUUCUAUUCUUCCUCUCCGCUACACCAUUUUGUUGAGGGGUAUACACAGCGGAAUAUUGUCUUUUGAUACCCUCAUCACUCAAAAACUCAAUCAAGGUGUAAUUCUUGAACUCGGAGCCAUUAUCACUCCUAAUAGCCAUAAUCUUGGCAUUGUAUUGGCGUUGGGCUUCAUUUGCAAAGUCGAUGACGGUUUGUUGGGUCUCAUUCUUGUGCUUGAAGAAAUAUACCCAAGUGUAUCUAGAAUAUUCAUCAAAAAUAACCAAACAAUAUUUCUUACCACCAAGACUAUCAUAUGUAGGAGGACCGAAGAGAUCCAUAUGAAGGAGCUCCAAAGGCGUCGUUGAUGUGAUAAUUGUCUUGUGGUGAUGUGACUUCUCAUGUAACUUCCCUUCAAUACAAGCACUACACACACGGUUUUUAUUAAAUGAAACAUUGGUUAGUCCUAGCACAUGCUCACAUUUGAGGAGGCUUUGCAAAGAUCUCGUAUUGACAUGGGCUAGACGGCGAUGCCAUAGCCAACCCACAUCAGUUUUAGCCAUUAGACAUGUUUCUUCUCUAGUGAGUUUCUUACCAAAGUCUACCACAUAGAGACCACUUUCCACAUAUCCAACAAAGGCUAUUUUAAGAGUCUUGCUCCACAAAAGGGUCACACUAGUUGUUGCAAAGAAGGAAUAAAAACCCAUAUGUGCAAGUUGAAGUACCGAAAGUAAAUUGUAUGAAAGGGACUCAACAAGCAUGACAUUCUCGAUGGAUGUAUCCGGAGAGAUAACAACCUUGCCUAGUCCCAAUAUCUUUGAUUGUGAAGAAUCUCCAAAUGUAACUUGCUUGGACCUUGAUGUACUCAUUUUGGCGUCCACAAGCAAUUCUUUGACUCCGGUCAUAUGAUUAGUGCAUCCACUAUCCACUAUUCAUGAAGAUCCACCGGAAGCAACCUCCUACAAGUUUAAACUUUGGUUUUAGGUACCCAUCUUUGAAUGGGUCUUUUAGCGUUAGCAACAAGGGUCUUAGGAACCCAAAUAGACCAAUGAACAUAUCAUAAGGAGAACCAACAAAUUUGGCAUAAACAUGCCCAUCAUUAGUAUGACAAAGAACAUAUGAGAGAUUGAAAUCCCCGGCAUAACUAUCAUACGUGGCCUUGCCACCCUUCUUGUUCUUUGGCUUCUUCUUGGCUGCCUCCCAUUCCUUCACAAAAUAAGCAUUAGUGCGGGGAGGUGCCUUGGCCUUCUUGUAGUUGUUGCUCUUCUCAUUGGGGUUGUACCCAAUUCCCUCCAAUCCAAAAGCUUUUCUAUGAUCAUUCAAAAGAUCAUGGAGGUUCUUCUCGCGUUGGAAGCAAGUGGCUAGACCCUUUUCAAGUUGAGCCUUCAACCUAGCAUUUUCCUCAAUCAUAGAUGUAUGCUUACAACAAGGGUUAGUUGCAGCAUUUUUAUCAUUAGAAAUUAAUUCCUUAACAAGAGAAUAUAGAAGAUGAUCACAAGACUCUUUGAGAAACUUGCAUUCACUUGUCAAAGACUUGUGAUCCUUUCCAAGUCUGUCAAAGUCUUCAAGGUGGUUCCUAUGACCAUUCUCAACUUCACAUAUCCUACACAAGUACUCAUUAGCAAGGGAAAUAGCAUUAUCAUAGGAAUCUUUAACUUUAGCAAGUUCCUUAGAAAGUAACUUCUCAAUUGCUUCCCUAUUUGCUUGUUCUUCCUCAAGAGCUUCAUUAAGCUCCGCAAUCUCAUGAGCGGCAACGCACUCAAGUAUUACCUUUUCAUCCAUGAGCUCAUCAUGUUCUUCAAUAAUAGCUUGAGCUUCACCUAGUUUUUCCAAGAGGUCCUCAAACCUCUUUUUGGUCUCACCUUCCAAGCUUGCCAUGAAGAUUUCGAACUCAUUCAUGCUAUGCUUAACAACACUACUCUCCUCCACACAAUCAAAUAGAGAUAAACUCUUAGGAAUGACAUGUUUGGUGGGAUGAGAGAUUACCGAAGAGGUCUUGGCCAUAAGGCACUUGGGUGAGCGGUUCUUGUUCUCAUUGGGGGAGUCGAAGAGAGAUGAAAGUGAAGAAUCAAUAGCAAUGUUUGCCUUCUCCGUGGACUCUUCAUCAUCAUCAUCUUCGUCACCCGAAGUAUAUUCUUCUUGAACAAGAAGCAUUAUUGGUUGCCUCUUCUUCGUUGGCUUCUUCUGGAAGGAGGGCUUGGUCUUCCCCGUAAGUAUAAGGCGUCCACCAUUCUCCUCCCUCUUCUCAUAAAUACACUCUGCAACGAAAUGGUCAUUGUUACCACAAUUAUAACAUUUACGAGAUCUUUGACCUUUGGGCUUGGAGCUUGAAGCUCCCUUGUUGUUGUAGAAGUUGUUAGGGUUGAAGGUGUUGGUCUUGACAAACUUCUUGUUCUUCCAAAAGGCUUGAGCCGCAAGAGCCAUGUGGUCACUAAACUCAUAGUUGCAAUUUUCUUCCGUGAUCUCAACCUCUUCUUGUUGGGGCACUUCACAUGGAGUUGAGGUGGGAGUCACGUUGGCCUUCAAUGCAGGGCUUGAGCUUUGUGAGAGAAACUUGGCUCGAAUGAGGUUGUCCUCGGAUGUCUUCUUGAGAAUAUCCAUAGCUACAAACUCUCCCAUCACUUGACUUGGAGUCAAGCUAUAGUAGUCCGUUCUUUGCCUAAUCAUUGCGGCAUGAACCUCACGGUGUGGGGAGAUGGCUUCUAUGAAUAGACGCUCAAGCCAUUCAUCAUUGAUGUUACGACUUCCAUGGUCCUUCAUCUUGGCUCCAAUAGUGAUGACUCUCCUAUAUAGCUCAUCCGGAACCUCUCCCAUCCUUGAUGAAGAAAUUUUUGCAUUCGUUGAUGACCACUUCAAACUUUGACUUCCUAACACUCUCAUUGUUGUCAAAGUGGUCACCAAUGAGCUUCCAAACAUCUCUAGCAGAAUCAACACCACGGACAAAUGUUCUAUACUCCAAGGGUCGAGCCUUUAGGAGUAUUCCAAUGGCAUGCUCAUUGAGUUGAUUGUCGACAUACUCUCUUGGUGACAAGUUCUUUGGAUCAUGAACAAAGUAACCUUCUUCAACAAUUCUCCACAACUCCGUUGAUGUGCUCUUGAAGUGAGUCCUCAUGCAAUGAAACCAAUCAACGUAAUUAGUAGAGGUUAGCAUGGGGGGUUCUCCUUGAUUAUACAUAGGUGGUAAAUUAUGGUGGCGAUGAUUAUAUUGAGGUGGUGGAGCCACCUCACUAUACAACCCAUAGCCACCCCUACCUUGGGAUUUGGUAGCACUCUCUUCGAUAGCCUUAGCCUUGUUACGGGCUUCGGCAUCUGAAUAUUUCUUAGUCAAAUUCACCGCACUUGGUGGCUUGGCAUAGAAAGGCUCGGUAGAAGACGAAGAGGCUUUGUUAGGUAGGUGCUCACUAAUCUUUUUUUCCACCAUAUCUAGAAUAAAUUUUUGCAUGCUAUCCAAAAGCAAUUUGAUGGAUUUAAAAGUUAGUGAAGCAUUAUUAUCUAACACCUCGGUUUCUUGGGGUUUCACAGUGGGUUCCCCAUCAUUGCCGGCCAUACUCUUAAGAGCAGUAAAGCCCUAAUUAAGAGACGAGGCUCUGAUACCAAUUGAAAGAUCGGUAUGGUCGACUAGAGCAGGGGGAGGGGGGGUGAAUAGGAGACUAACAAAUUUAAGCUUUUCUUUUUCUUUUCUUGAAAGAUACAAACACUUAAUCCUAGGGUUUUCUAAUUCUCUAAAGUGAAUGCAACCCUAGAAUGAAAUGCAAUAGCCGAAGCAACAAUAUAUAGUAAGAAUGUAAAGGGGAAAUGAUACCACACGUGGAGACGAAGAUUUCACCGGAGUUUCACCUACUGGGAUCGGUGUACGUCUCCGUUUGGAGGAGUGCUCUACCACAAAGGUAGAGAUGCCACGAAGGCUCACUCUAUUCUCCAACUCACCACACCACAAAGGUGGGAUGAGCUCUCACAACACCACAAAGGUGAGGUGAGUUCCACUAAUGGCUUUCUUGAGGGCGAACGCUGAACCCUUACAAACUUGACCGGGGCAAACUCCACGAUUCAAUAGGAGGCUCCCAAUCCAAGCCUCAAGCUCCUCAUACACCAAGGGAGAGCUUGAGGUGACCGCUUUCGUCUAGGGUUCCCAACAACCCAAGAGAAAUGAAAUUCACAAAGAAAACAAGGAGAAUCAACUUUUUGACUUGGUGGAACCCUAGAGCAAGAUCUUCUCCUCCAAUCCUCAAAGAAUUAAGAGUUGGGAGUGGCUAGGGAGGGAGAUCUUGGAGAUUUGAGCUUUUUGUGUUCUUGGGUUGAGAGGGGCUGUUCUUGGCGGUGAAAACGGCUAGCUAGCUCGUUGGGGACGAAGGGGUAUAUAUAUGGGGUCCCUAAAAUCGAGCCGUUAUGCACUGCAGAGACAGGCCGGAACUUUCGUUCAUAGCCGGAACUUCUGGUGAGACGGAAGUUCCGCAUAUUACCAGAAGUUCCACAUAUUCUGCCGAUCCUAACAGAGAGUGACCGGAGGUUGGGGCGGAAGUUCCGGCCGGAACUUCCGCCACGUGGACUGCAGGCAGAACACAACAUGCUGAGUUUUAGUUGUUCUCUCUCACUUUUUGGGGUAGGCCUUUUAGUGGGUGCAAAUUGUGUAGUUGUGUACGUGAAAUUGAUUCAUCCAUUACCUUCCCUUGUGAAUUCCCUCUUAAUAGUACGGAUGUCCUACGACUCAACUCAAAACGAAAACGCCGCUAACACCUUUACGCUUCAUAGCAUCUUGAGGGUCCACAACAACGUCUUGUGAUAAUUUCUUUAUGAAAUCUGAAAUACUUGACUCACGAUUAGAUACACAACAUGUUGUCAUCACCAUCAAAACCACUUAGGAGAGAAAUGCCCUUUCACAUGUGCCUCCGCUUCAUAUCCCUAUAGCUCCCUUGGAAUGAUCCAGGCAGUACCGUCCUUUUGCCCACCACAUUUGCACGACUCUCUCCGGCAGUGAUGCUAUCCAUGACGCCUUUAUAUAGGUCAGCUCAUAUCUCUUUUUGGUGAUUCCUGAUCCAGUAUAGCCUUGUGCCCUCCACCUUGAUAUACAUGUCAACAGCGAAUUCUUGGAAUAGACGCUGGCCAUGCAAUAAGAAUUUGUUAGCACUUUUUCCGUAUAUAUUUUAAACUUUGUUUUAAUAAUAUAGAAUAUAUAGAAAGGUUUUCCAUUUAAAUCUAUUUAUCUAUAUAUUUAUAUAUCAAGGAUACUCCAUAUAUAGAUAUACGGUACGGAAGUCUAUCCCCCAUAUAAGACGAGGGGGUAAAAAGAACGGAAAAUGCAAAUAUUUAAUUUAUUUAAUUAAGUUAAGAAUGGUAUUCCAUAAUGGAAUUCGAAUUAAAAAACAAAAAAUACUGAGUCUCUUAAACAAGACAUUAUAAAACUUAGGUAAUUAUAGCAAUUAUGAUUUUAGUUCUCUAAACAAGAGAGCUGCUUCAUCUUUGUUUUAAAGAAAUAGAAAAAUGAAUAGAAAGUUAAAUGAUUCCACUUUUUUGUUCAUAAAUAUCCUUAUUUAGAUAAUAACUAGGUAACGAAGUUAGUUGAUUAACGUUUUGAAUUUAACCAACUAAACCCAUUCUUAAUUUUGGAUUAUUUCAAUGAUAUAAAUUUUCAAAAAUUAAGAAUUCCAGUAUUUUUUCUUAUUUUUUUUCCUUAUUAUUUAUUCCUUCAGAAAGAGAUAAGAAUUGGUUUGGUGAAUCAGAAACAAUUUUUUUAUAAAAAAUUGAAGUAAAAAUUUCAAGUAAAAAUUUCAAGUAAAAAUUGUAAUUUCUUUUCUUAUGGAACAUACAUUUCAAUAUGCUUGGGUAAUCCCUCUUCUCCCACUUCCAGUUAUUCUGUCAAUGGGGUUUGGCCUUUUUCUUAUUCCGAUCACAACAAAAAAAAUUCGUCGCAUAUGGGCUUUUCCUAGUGUUUUACUCUUUAGUAUAGCUAUGGUAUUCUCAGUUCAAUUGUCUAUUCAACAAAUAAAUGGAAGUUCUAUCUAUCAAUAUGUAUGGUCUUGGACCAUCAAUAAUGAUUUUUCCUUAGAAUUUGGAUACUUGAUUGACCCGCUUACUUCGAUUAUGUUAAUGCUAAUUACUACUGUAGGAAUCCUGGUUCUUAUUUAUAGUGAUGGUUAUAUGUCUCAUGAUGAAGGAUAUUUGAGAUUUUUUAUUUAUAUUAGUUUUUUCAAUAUUUCCAUGUUGGGAUUGGUUACUAGUUCAAAUUUGAUACAGAUUUUUUUUUUUUGGGAACUUGUGGGAAUGUGUUCCUAUUUAUUGAUAGGCUUUUGGUUUACACGACCAAUCGCAGCGAGCGCUUGUCAAAAAGCUUUUGUAACUAAUCGUAUAGGUGAUUUUGGUCUUUUAUUAGGAAUUUUAGGUUUUUUUUGGAUAACAGGUAGUUUAGAAUUUAGGGAUUUGUUCCAAACAGCUAAUAACUGGAUUCCUAAUAAUGGGACGACCUCUUUACUUACUACUUUAUGUGCUUUUUUAUUAUUCCUUGGGGCAGUUGCGAAAUCCGCACAAUUCCCUCUUCACGUAUGGUUACCCGAUGCAAUUGAGGGACCCACUCCCAUUUCGGCUCUUAUAUUAGUUCGUUGCAAUUGUCAACCGGUCCUAUCGAAAGUAGGAGUGGCUAUGGAUUCGAGCCAUAGCACAUGGUUUCAUAAAAUCUGUAUGAUUUUCCUGAUCUAAAUCGAGCAGGUUUCCAUGAAGAAGAUCUUGUUCAGCAUGUUCUAUUCGAUACUGGUAGGAGAAGAACCCGACUCAGUAUUCUUAAAAAUAGAGGGGAAGCAGAACCAAGUCAAGAUGAUAUGGGUCGCCCCUUCUUCUUGCGCCAAAGAUCUUACCAUUUCCGAAGGAACUGGGGCUACAUUUCUUUUCAAUUUCCAUUCAAGAGUUUCU
rnacentral:lncRNA from 1 species